CCUUACAUGUGGAAUCUGAACAAAGGACAGACUGAACUUCUUUGCAGAACAGUUGGAGGAGGUCAUCAAGAAGACAUGACCUCCUGCUACCCAGGCAAUUAAUCAGAGGCUCCUCACCCACUCCGUUGUUUUUGAAAUGUACAUUCUCGCCCACUGUUCCCGCUGUGGGAGCCAUUUUUGAGGAUGCAGCCUGGAGAGAGCAUGUAUUGUUGAGACCGUCUGGAUGGAAAACGGGAUGAACUCUAUUAAGGCCUCUAUACAAACCUUAAGAUGCUGGCAGCAGGUGCUGAGAGCAACUCAUUUUGUGACUGACGCUCAAGACAAGCCACGCCAGAGGCAGAAUAUGAGACACAGAUUCAAGAACAAGUGAUGUAUUUAGGAGGGAACCUCAGGAAGCACCAGGGCAGCAAGGAAGGUGAUUCAAGAAAUCAUGAUGAGCAGUCAGUUGUCCAAAGCUUGAUGUACUAGGUCUACAGAAGAUCAACUGUGCCCCUGUGAACAAUCUGUAUGGACCGAUGGUUUCUCAGCCAGGUGUUUUUCAGGUAUUCCAGCUCCUUUGCCCUUGAAUAUAACUGCACCAUAUUGAGUUUUCCGAUUCAUGAACAUGGUAAGUCUCUCCAUCUAUUUCAAUCAUAUUUGAUUUCUUUUGCCAGUAUUUUGCAGUUUCCAAUGUGCACAUCCUUUAUAUGGUUUUUUUUUUCAAUUUCUACCUAAGCAUUUCAAUUUUUAUAACUGUGUAAAUGGUAUUGCUUUUAAAAAUUUUGUUUGGCAAAUGUUCAUGAUAUUAUGUGAAAUAAUAUUGAUUUGUGGGUAUUGGUUUUGUAUCUUUUGACCUUUCGAAACUCAUGUUAGUUCUGUGUGUUGUUUUUGUUGUUUUCUAUGAUCUUGGGGCUUUUUACAUAGACAGUUGUGUCUUCUGUAAAUAACGACAAUUUUAUUUCUUUCAUCCAGUCUGUAUGUCUUUUAUGUCUUUUUCUCACUUUAUUGCACUGGCUAGAACUUUCAGUAUAACAUAGAAUAGAAGUGGUGAGAAUGGAUAUCCUUGUUUUUUUCCUGAUCUUAAGGUAGAAAGAUGUCAUCUUUUACCACUGAAUAUAAUGUUUUCUGUGAGUUUUUUCUUAAGACUCCAUCAUUUUGAGGAAAUUGCCUUCUAUUCCUAGUAUGCCAAAUAUUUUUAUUAUGAAUAGGUGCUGAAAUUUGUCAAACACAUUUUAUAUUUUGAUUAACAUGGUCAUGUGGUUUUUAUUCUUUAUUAAUAUUAUGGAUUAUAUUGUUUAAUUGUUUGGAAACAUAUUGAACCAGACUUGCUUUUUUCGAUUGGGUUUCCCAUAAACCCUAAUUGGUCAUAUGUGUUAUUCUUUUAUACAUUAUUAGAAUUGAUUUGAUAAUGACUUGAGGAAUUUUGUGUUUAUAUCUUUGAGGGAUAUUCAUCUGUAUUUGUUUUCUUGUACUAUUUUCAUCAUUUUGGAAUUAAGGUAAUGCUGGCCUCAUAAAUUUAGUUGGAAAUUGUUCCCUCUUCUUCUCUUUACAAAAGAUAUUAUGUGAUUUGUGUUCAUUUCUUUUUUAAAUAUUAGAAUGUACUUAUAAAAUCUGAGGAGUUCUUUCUUCAGAUGGUUUUAAUUACAGGACUAUUCCAGUGAUCUGUUUCAUCAUGAGUGAAUAUUGUUGGAUUGUUUUUGAGGAACUUGUCAAUUUUAUCUAAGUUGCUUAAUUUAUGUGUGCAAAGAUGUUUUUCAUAUUCCUACCUUUUACAACCUUUAAGGUUUUAGUGUAAAAAAUUUAAGUUGAUCAGGCCUAUAGCUCUUUUAUUUUAGAGGAAAUUCAGGAAACAUAUGAAUAUAUUAAUAGACACAACAGUGAGGUAUUCAGAAAGAUUUGGAUAUAAGGAAAUCCUAAGAUACAAAUUCCUGGUUUCUUUAAUUUAAAAAAAUACAAAGAGAAAAAUGAAAAGGGAAAAGAAACCUACUGAUUAAAAAAAAAGAAAAAUCUCGAAAUAAAUAAUAUAUGAACAAUAUUUCAUUUCAGAUUUAAAUAAACACACUGCGAAAAAAGUAAAGAUUUAUGAGAUAGUCAGAACCUUUGAAAAUGACUAGAUAUUUUGCAAUAUUAAGGAAAUAUUUUUAAAUUCUUUAAGUGAUAAUGCUAACAUUAAAUUACUUUAAAGAUUGAAAGAUGCACCUUGUUAUAAAUUGGAAGAAUUACUAUAAUUAAGAUUUUAAUUACAGAUAGUUUAAUCCAUAAAAUCAAUACAAUGUUAAUAUAAAUUACAUUAUCUUUUCCCCAUGGCAUCUUACAAAACUUUUUAGGGAGAUAUGCUUAAAGAGUUGCAAAUGCAAUAUUUUAGUGGGUCACAUAUAUUACAAAAUAAUUCAGUGGGUAAGAGUGGAAAGGAAGUAAAGACACAGUUGAAACAAGAAUAGCCAUGACUUCAUAAUUUUUGACACUGAGUGUUGGUCAUCUUCUCUACAUUUUCCAUAAUAAAUUUUCAUUAUAAAAUAUUUUCAUCAUAAAUAUAGUCUGUAAUAAAAAACUUUUAAAGAGCCUUUCAAUAAUGUACAAAACAACUAGUUAGUUAAGAAACCUAAUUGUAAUACAAAUACUUAUGAAAAAUUGAUAGCAAUUAAGAUAUUCUCCAACACUUAACAGACAUAGAAAGACCACUUAGAGGAAAAUGCAUAUAUAUAUAUAUAUAUAUUUUUUUUUUAAAGAUUAACAAUGAAUGAGCUGGACAUUAUUUUCAGUAAAUUAGUCAAAGAUUACCAAAAUUGAUCAUCACCUCCAGCAACAAAACAAACGUUUGGAAGUAAAUAAUGAAAAAGUUUAGAAACUGAUAAAUAAAAAACAAAUCUACAAAACCAAAAGCUGAUUAUUUAAAAAUACUAUGAAAAGCUCUGGCAAGAUCUAGGAAUAAAAAAAGAUGCAAAAGAUACAAAUAAAUAAUAUUCAGAAUAAAUAAGCUUCAAAAAUAUUUCAAAUGAAGAUAUUAUUAUAAGACAUUUCAUGCAAAAACAUUUAAAAGCAUCCUAGAAAGAUAUAUUAAUACAAUUACCUCAUUAGUAAAUAGAAAAUCUAGGUAGACCUAAACUCUUUAUUCAGGGCCAGAUUUUAUUAUAUUUGAACUUUAUUGAACCUUCAGGAAGUAAUCAAUAGCAUGUAAAAUUUCUAGAAAAUUUCAAAUGCAGAAAUAUUUCCCAUUAUUUAAUGACAAAAAAUAGCAAAUAAUAAUAGGAAUACAAAUUAUAGUCCAGUCUUAUUUAUGAAAAAGAACACAAAAAUGCUAAAUCGAAUACUAACAAAAUGAAUCUAACAAUAAAUAUUUAAAAAUCAUUAUAAAUAAAUUGAGUUUACCCCAGGAAUGCAAUAAUUGUAUAACAUUAGAAAAGCUAUGUAAUAAGGUAACACCCAUUCAUUAUAGAAAUAGUUAUAAGAAGCCUAAAACAGAUAUAACAGAAAGGAUAUAAGACUUUUAUGAGAAAAACAAAGAAUUUAAAUAAAUUAACAGAUGUUUCAGUUAUCAAUUAAAAAUGCAAUAUAAUAAAAAUGUUUAUCUUAUGCCCAUUAAUCAAAAUUAUAAAAUUUAUGGAACUUUAGAAGCAAUUCUAGUAUUAAUAUGGAAAAAUGUAAAGAAUAGCCAAGAUAAUUUUCAAGAGAAGCAAGUUAUUGGAACUUUACUUGAUAUAAAAUAAGAGUAAUUAGGAAUUCCCAUUGUGGUUCUGUGGGUUAAGAACCCAAUGCUGUCUCUCUGAGAAUCUGGGUUCAAUCCCUGGCCUCACUCAGUGGGUUAAGGAUCUGGCACUGCUUAAGCUGCAGGGUAC